CUAACACAUGCAAGUCGAACGAGAUCCUUCGGGGUCUAGUGGCGCACGGGUGCGUAACGCGUGGGAAUCUGCCCUUUGCUUCGGAAUAACAGUUAGAAAUGACUGCUAAUACCGGAUGAUGUCGCAAGACCAAAGAUUUAUCGGCAAGGGAUGAGCCCGCGUAGGAUUAGGUAGUUGGUGGGGUAAAGGCUCACCAAGCCGACGAUCCUUAGCUGGUCUGAGAGGAUGAUCAGCUCACACUGGGACUGAGACACGGCCCAGACUCCUACGGGAGGCAGCACUGGGGAAUAUUGGACAAUGGGCGAGAGCCUGAUCCAGGCAAUGCCGCGUGAGCUGAUCGCACGCCUUAC
rnacentral:rRNA from 1 species